AGUGAACGCUGGCGGCGUGCUUAACACAUGCAAGUCGAACGAGAACAGAUUAUAGCUUGCUAUAAUUGUCAGCUAAGUGGCGCACGGGUGAGUAAUGUAUAGGUAAUAUGCCUCUUACUAAGGGAUAACAAAUGGAAACGUUUGCUAAUACCUUAUACUCCUUAUUAACAGAAGUUAAUAAGGGAAAGAUUUAUUGGUAAGAGAUUAGCCUGUAUUGUAUCAGUUAGUUGGUGGGGUAAUGGCUUACCAAGACUAUGACACAUAACUGGUUUGAGAGGAUGAUCAGUCACACUGGAACUGAGACACGGUCCAGACUCCUACGGGAGGCAGCAGUGGGGAAUACUGCACAAUGGACGAAAGUCUGAUGCAGCAACGCCGCGUGGAGGAUGACACAUUUCGGUGCGUAAACUCCUUUUAUAUGAGAAGAUAAUGACGGUAUUAUAUGAAUAAGCACCGGCUAACUCCGUGCCAGCCGCCGCGGUAA
rnacentral:rRNA from 1 species